rnacentral:rRNA from 1 species
GACGAACGCUGGCGGCGUGCUUAACACAUGCAAGUCGAACGGCAGCGCACUUAGGGGUUCUCGAGUGGCGAACGGAUGAGUAACACGUGGAUGAACAGCCCUGCACUUUGGGAUAAGCCUGGGAUACUGGAUCUAAUCCCGCAUAAGAACCCGCGCCUCCUGGUGUGUGGUGGAAAGCUGUUGCGGGGUGGGAUGGGCGCGGGGCUUAUCAGCUUGUUGGUGGGGGAAUGGCCUACCAAGGCGCCGACGGGUGGCCGGCCUGAGAGGGUGAGCGGCCACACGGGGACUGCGAGACGGCCCAGACGCGUACGGGAGGCAGCAGUCGGGAAUAUUGCACAAUGGGCGCAAGCCUGUGGCAGCGACGUCGGGGUAGGGAUGACGGCCUUCGGGGUGUAAACCGCUGUCAAUAGGUACGAAGCGGAAGUGACGGUACCUAUAGAAGAAGCACCGGCUAACUACGUG